GUCGCCAUGACUGCCCACCUUGGGAGCCCAGUGGAGGCAUUGCUGAAAGAGGGAGGGACUGCUGUGAGCCAGGAGGUCCCCAAGAGCCUCCCUAGAGGGUGAGGGCACAAUCAGGGCCCUAUGCAGAUUUCCCCCUUACAAACUACCCACUCCUCAAGCAGGGGACUCCACAUUUUUAUUACAUAAAUAGUCCUUUGUUGCUACAACAAGUUGGCUUUGAAGGUGGGAAAGGUGGAGGAUGAAGUUGUGAAGAAACUUUUCCCUGAUCAAUGAACAGGCCGUCUUCUCAAAUAUGUAUUUUCUCUUGGAUACUCUUGAGCUUUUAUUCACUCUGCUUCUCUGUGCUCUGCAGGGCCCCCUCCAGAGGAUGGCCAGGAGGUCUGAGGGGAACCACUAGAGUUUGAGAAAUGUUGUCUUAUAAGCCACUCAUUUAAAGACGAAAGCUCCUCUGAUUAGCACUGCUUCUGCUUCCACUCCAGCCAGGCCGUGAGAAAGCCCGAGGUGGUCACUUCAAGAGGCUGCAUGGAAAGAGAGAUCUGUUGGCCAGCUCCUGCCAGUCAGCCAUCUCAGCUGGACAUCUGACAUGGGACAGAAGAAGCCACCUUGAACUUCCAGCCCACUGAGCCUUAAGAUGCUUCUUCUCUUAGCCAAUAUGUAAAUGCAAUAACCUGAGAGACCCCACAUGAGAAUUCAUCAGUUGAACCCAAUCAUGAGAGAUAAUAAAUUAUUAUUUGAAGCCACUAAACUGGAGAGUAAUUUGUUACAUAAAAAAUGAAUAAUAAGAACACUGGACAA
rnacentral:lncRNA from 10 species